AUUGAACGCUAGCGGGAUGCUUUACACAUGCAAGUCGAACGGCAGCGCGGACUUCGGUCUGGCGGCGAGUGGCGAACGGGUGAGUAAUGUAUCGGAACGUGCCCAGUAGCGGGGGAUAACUACGCGAAAGCGUAGCUAAUACCGCAUACGCCCUACGGGGGAAAGCAGGGGAUCGUAAGACCUUGCACUAUUGGAGCGGCCGAUAUCGGAUUAGCUAGUUGGUGAGGUAACGGCUCACCAAGGCGACGAUCCGUAGCUGGUUUGAGAGGACGACCAGCCACACUGGGACUGAGACACGGCCCAGACUCCUACGGGAGGCAGCAGUGGGGAAUUUUGGACAAUGGGGGCAACCCUGAUCCAGCCAUCCCGCGUGUGCGAUGAAGGCCUUCGGGUUGUAAAGCACUUUUGGCAGGAAAGAAACGUCGCGGGCUAAUACCCCGUGGAACUGACGGUGCCUGCAGAAUAAGCACCGGCUAACUACGUG
rnacentral:rRNA from 1 species